AAAUGGCCAACGGCCCGGUACCUGUACUGACGUCACUGUUUGAUCCUUCCAUGACGGCUCUUCCUAUCAUCGUGAAGCAGAAUUCACCAAGAGUUGGAUUGUUCACCCACUAAUAGGGAACGUGAGCUUGGUUCAGUAGACUGUCGUGAGACAGGUU
rnacentral:ncRNA from 1 species